GCAUCUUGUCGAACUUUAUUCAUGAUAUUAGGUAGAAUUUGUGCCUAGGAAUACAUUUCCGAACAAGGGAGUGUCUUUAUUGACUACGAUAUAUCAAGGGUCAAUACAUUGUAUGCUUAUAAAUGAAUGUCAUCGAGGCUAAUUGGCCAUAACUUGGGUGGCUCAUGACUCGAAGUCCUGAUUCUUGAACAUGAACAACCUCUUGUGGACUUCUUUUGGUAGCUAGGUAUGACUGGUACUCGGUUGCCUAGGCCGAGGAUUGGGAGUAUUUGGAACGUGGUGUGAUUUUAUUAUCUGUGUAGUUAUCGAAAAUAGAGAGCCAGCUGGGUGGAAGGAUUAAUGUCGGAAAAUAUCACGUCGUUCUUUGCUCCUCCUCAUCAUCACUUGAAGUCUAUAUCUACCUCUUCCUCUAGCAUACUCUAUAAGAAACAGAAUUCGUCCUCACGGUGUUGUUCUCCAUGACAUGACAUUUAUAAUCUAACAUUAAGAACCUUACCUCCACACCGUUUUGUCACAGUUAGUAGGAGUGCCGACUGCCUGUAUUAUUAAUACACUUAAAAAUUCC
rnacentral:lncRNA from 1 species